rnacentral:rRNA from 1 species
AUUGAACGCUGGCGGAAUGCUUUACACAUGCAAGUCGAACGGCAGCACGGACUUCGGUCUGGUGGCGAGUGGCGAACGGGUGAGUAAUGUAUCAGAACGUGCCCAGUCGUGGGGGAUAACGUAGUGAAAAUUACGCUAAUACCGCAUACGAUCUAUGGAUGAAAGCGGGGGAUCGCAAGAACUCGCGCGAUUGGAGCGGCCGAUAUCAGAUUAGGUAGUUGGUGGGGUAAAGGACCACCAAGCCAACGAUCUGUAGCUGGUCUGAGAGGACGACCAGCCACACUGGAACUGAGACACGGUACAGACUCCUACGGGAGGCAGCAGUGGGGAAUUUUGGACAAUGGGCGAAAGCCUGAUCCAGCCAUUCCGCGUGCAGGAUGAAGGCCCUCGGGUUGUAAACUGCUUUUGUACAGAACGAAAAGGUUUCUACUAAUACUAGGAGCUCAUGACGGUACUGUAAGAAUAAGCACCGGCUAACUACGUGCCAGCAGCCGCAGUAA